UACGUAGGGUGCAAGCGUUGUCCGGAAUUAUUGGGCGUAAAGAGCUCGUAGGCGGUUUGUCGCGUCUGCUGUGAAAACUCGGGGCUUAACUCCGGGCCUGCAGUGGGUACGGGCAGACUAGAGUGCGGUAGGGGAGUGUGGAAUUCCUGGUGGAGCGGUGAAAUGCGCAGAUAUCAGGAGGAACACCCGUAGCGAAGGCGGCACUCUGGGCCGAUACUGACACUGAGGCGCGAAAGCGUGGGGAGCAAACAGG
rnacentral:rRNA from 1 species